CGAAUUCGACCUCUUCGACCUGGUCGACUGGGGCCUCCACCGAAUUUCCAUCAUUUUCCACAUCGUUUCUUGGUGAUGUACUGGAGGUGGAAGGCAAAUCAGCAGAAUUUAGAAUUUUUCUGCGUUUCUUUUGUUUUGUAAUCUUGUCGCGUGUCAAUUUGAAUUGCUGUUGUAUUUCUGCGCCUCGUCCACUAUCAAAAAUGUCCUUCAGAAAGGGUACGCCCUUUAAUGCUGUGCGGUCAUUCGAUUCGUUCAAGUUAAAAUAUUGAACUAAUACUCCAUCUUGGAAAACAUUUGCCAACCACUUUGGGUUAGCCCUGCGCAACAUUUUAAGUUCCGCCACAAUUUUUGUCCUGAAUUCAACUUUAUCCCAAUCCCCGAUGAGAUUAUUGUAUUCCUCUAGGGACUUCAGAGGAAAAGGGGAUUCUCCCACUUCUGACUGCGUUACAAGAAGUUUUCUGAUACUGCCGAAAAAUAAAGCAAAAAAAAUUAAAACCGUGUGACCCGGAGAAAUUCAUCCUGAAGAAAUCAAAAUGGCGUCUCAGCAUCACUGCAAAAAUUACAACAAAAUGGCUGCCAAAGUGAAAGACUUGUUCUUUUGUUUUGAAAUACACUUUAAUAGAUGCACUUAAUUGAACUGAAAGUAAAACUUUUUUGUAAGAUGUUAUUUUUAUCAAAAAAGCAUGUUUUGUAUAUAAUUUACUUUUUCAUAAUAUAAUAUAAUAUAUAUUCAUCAUCUUCACGUUUUACUAUUUCCUUUUCUUUUGUUUGUUUUUUUUUCCUUUUUAAUAAUAUAUAAUACAUAAAAUUGUAGUUGUUAAUGUUAUUAACAAUGAUCUCGUACGUUUUUUUUUAUUUGAUUUCAUUGGAGAUUCUUUUUUUUUUUGUCAAAAUAAUUCGGGAGAAAUACAAUUCAUCAACAUCUCGUGCCCAUUUUUUUUUAUUUCAAAAUUUCUUUUAAAAGCAAUUUUCUUCCGCAUUUACACAACUUUGUAAAUUUUUACAAAUACGCAAGAAUAUUUUGUGAGAGAUAUGUUAAUUUGUGUACAAUUUCUUUCCAAAGAAUCUAUGCUUUUUUUCUAAUUUAAUUCCAUUUUUUUUUUCUUUGAUUCUCUAAGAAAAAUCAAGAUUCUUGUGCUUUUUUCAACCAUGCAUUUUUGUUUUUUUUAAUACCUAAAAUGGCACAAUUGCACACAUUUUUUUUGUUUCUCUUGCUUAUCCAUAAAAUAUCUUUGCGACGUUUUUUGCAAUUUCUUAAUUUUUAUAGCGAAUGAUUUUUUUUAAUUAUCUUUGCUUUUUUAAUUUUCUUCAUCUAUUUUAUAAAUGCUUUUUUUUUUCUUCACACAAAUUUUCAUCUGUUCUUGUUCUUCCUUUUGAUUUCUCUUCCUACUCUGCACUGCAUGAGAAGAACAAUUCGAACAAUUCUAUAAAAGGCAUUUUCAAUACAUUAUUGGGUUGUUUUCUUUGUGUUGGAUUUCUUCUUAAUUGGAUUUUUAAUUUUCUUUGUUGUUUUUUUUUUAUAUUAUUCUUAUUUAUAACUUUUGCAUCGACUUAACAUGUUAAUAUGGAUCCUAUUUAUUUAAUUUUAUCGAUACUUAUGCGGUAGAAAUGAUGUGGCAAAAUGCUUUUAUGAGGAAGUUGUUUUUAAUUUUUUAUGAGAGAUUUUUCAUUGAAAAAUAUUUUGGUAACACUGUUCCUUAUAUGCAAUUAAAAAAAAAUUCGCCAAAGUCA